rnacentral:rRNA from 1 species
CUUGCACGCUGGCGGCAGGCAUAACCCAUGCAAGUCGAACGAGCGGCGGACGGGUGAGUAAUGUCUGGGAAACUGCCCGAUGGAGGGGGAUAACUACUGGAAACGGUAGCUAAUACCGCCUACCAUCGGAUGUGCCCAGAUGGGAUUAGCUAGUAGGUGGGGUAAUGGCUCACCUAGGCGACGAUCCCUAGCUGGUCUGAGAGGAUGACAAGCCACACUGGAACUGAGAAACGGUCAAGACUCCUACGGGAGGCAGCAGUGGGGAAUAUUGCACAAUGGGCGCAAGCCUGAUGCAGCCAUGCCGCGUGUAUGAAGAAGGCCUUCGGGUUGGAAAGUACUUUCAGCGAGGAGGCGUUACUCGCAGAAGAAGCACCGGCUAACUCCGUGCCAGCAGCCGCGGUAAUAC